rfam:Ictidomys tridecemlineatus contig043988, whole genome shotgun sequence.
UGGACUGUAGCUCAGUGGUGGAGUGCUUGCCUCCCAGGUGAGAGGCCCUGGGUUCGAUACUCAGCACCACAU